rnacentral:rRNA from 1 species
GACGAACGCUGGCGGCGUGCUUAACACAUGCAAGUCGAACGGAAAGGCCCUGCUUUUGUGGGGUGCUCGAGUGGCGAAAGGGUGAGUAACACGUGAGUAACCUGCCCUGGACUUUGGGAUAACUUCAGGAAACUGGGGCUAAUACCGGAUAGGAGCUCCUGCUGCAUGGUGGGGGUUGGAAAGUUUCGGCGGUUGGGGAUGGACUCGCGGCUUAUCAGCUUGUUGGUGGGGUAGUGGCUUACCAAGGCUUUGACGGGUAGCCGGCCUGAGAGGGUGACCGGCCACAUUGGGACUGAGAUACGGCCCAGACUCCUACGGGAGGCAGCAGUGGGGAAUAUCGCACAAUGGGCGGAAGCCUGAUGCAGCAACGCCGCGUGCGGGAUGACGGCCUUCGGGUUGUAAACCGCUUUCGCCUGUGACGAAGCGUGAGUGACGGUAAUGGGUAAAGAAGCACCGGCUAACUACGUG